CUGGCGGCGUGCCUAAUACAUGCAAGUAGAACGCUGAAGAGAGGAGCUUGCUCUUCUUGGAUGAGUUGCGAACGGGUGAGUAACGCGUAGGUAACCUGCCUUGUAGCGGGGGAUAACUAUUGGAAACGAUAGCUAAUACCGCAUAACAAUAGGUGACACAUGUCAUUUAUUUGAAAGGGGCAAUUGCUCCACUACAAGAUGGACCUGCGUUGUAUUAGCUAGUAGGUGAGGUAACGGCUCACCUAGGCGACGAUACAUAGCCGACCUGAGAGGGUGAUCGGCCACACUGGGACUGAGACACGGCCCAGACUCCUACGGGAGGCAGCAGUAGGGAAUCUUCGGCAAUGGGGGCAACCCUGACCGAGCAACGCCGCGUGAGUGAAGAAGGUUUUCGGAUCGUAAAGCUCUGUUGUAAGUCAAGAACGAGUGUGAGAGUGGAAAGUUCACACUGUGACGGUAGCUUACCAGAAAGGGACGGCUAACUACGUGCCAGCAGCCGCGGUAAUACGUAGGUCCCGAGCGUUGUCCGGAUUUAUUGGGCGCAAAGCGAGCGCAGGCGGUUUGAUAAGUCUGAAGUUAAAGGCUGUGGCUCAACCAUAGUUCGCUUUGGAAACUGUCAAACUUGAGUGCAGAAGGGGAGAGUGGAAUUCCAUGUGUAGCGGUGAAAUGCGUAGAUAUAUGGAGGAACACCGGUGGCGAAAGCGGCUCUCUGGUCUGUAACUGACGCUGAGGCUCGAAAGCGUGGGGAGCGAACAGGAUUAGAUACCCUGGUAGUCCACGCCGUAAACGAUGAGUGCUAGGUGUUGGAUCCUUUCCGGGAUUCAGUGCCGCAGCUAACGCAUUAAGCACUCCGCCUGGGGAGUACGACCGCAAGGUUGAAACUCAAAGGAAUUGACGGGGGCCCGCGCAAGCGGUGGAGCAUGUGGUUUAAUUCGAAGCAACGCGAAGAACCUUACCAGGUCUUGACAUCCCGAUGCUAUUUCUAGAGAUAGAAAGUUACUUCGGUACAUCGGUGACAGGUGGUGCAUGGUUGUCGUCAGCUCGUGUCGUGAGAUGUUGGGUUAAGUCCCGCAACGAGCGCAACCCCUAUUGUUAGUUGCCAUCAUUCAGUUGGGCACUCUAGCGAGACUGCCGGUAAUAAACCGGAGGAAGGUGGGGAUGACGUCAAAUCAUCAUGCCCCUUAUGACCUGGGCUACACACGUGCUACAAUGGUUGGUACAACGAGUUGCGAGUCGGUGACGGCAAGCUAAUCUCUUAAAGCCAAUCUCAGUUCGGAUUGUAGGCUGCAACUCGCCUACAUGAAGUCGGAAUCGCUAGUAAUCGCGGAUCAGCACGCCGCGGUGAAUACGUUCCCGGGCCUUGUACACACCGCCCGUCACACCACGAGAGUUUGUAACACCCGAAGUAGGUGAGGUAACCUUUUGGAGCCAGCCGCCUAAGGUGGGAUAG
rnacentral:rRNA from 1 species